rnacentral:misc_RNA from 1 species
GUCACGGCUAAAUCCUGUAAUGGCGCACUGCAUGGAAAACUAUUUCCUGUUUGCAGGUUUUUGCUGUUUAUGAAGCAGGUUAUCCACAGUACAGGUGCUUCUGAGAAGAGAUAUCAACUCUUGAAACCCCAACACAACUUGUUAACAAACCAUCUCAAUAGGACGACAAGAAUUGUAGGCGGACAGGAUGGACGGCGAGGUCCACCUGUACACGGCCAUGUUUGGUCACGCCCCAGAGAAAACGGGCAAUGAAGAUGAGGAACCGGACUACAUCAGUAUAGAUAUUGGGGACAUCCUCGAGGUGAAGGGUCCACGUCCGACCACCAAUGAUACCUGGAUGAAGGGGCAUAAUAAAAAUAAAGGCACCACUGGAUUUUUCCCUGGUAACUUUGUGGAAUAUGUAGGACCCGCUCCGAAAGUAGAACCGCCGGCGCUACCAGAAGUUCCACGGGUACCACACAGGCUGGUAGAUUGUUUCUUCCUGAGGCCGGUCAUCUGCUUCUACUGUAAAGAUUAUAUCUGGGGUACAGGAAAAGUAGGAAGGCGAUGUGACGGUUGCAAAAAGUGUUGUCACUUGCAAUGUUGGGAAGUAUACUCCAACACACACUGUAGGCGGGACAAGAAUGGCACCGUACCCCAAACACUGGACGCUGAUGUGCCCCUGAAGGAUUGGAACGUCAAUGAUGUUGUUGACUGGAUGGCUGCACUGAACAUCUACCGUUAUGCUCAACUCUUCAGGGACCGCAAUAUAGACGGCACUAUGUUGGAAGACAUGGAUGAAGAAAAACUAAAAGAAUUGGGAAUUAAGGAUAACUUUCACAAGAAAUCCAUCAUGGUAGCCAUUGAUGAACUGUGUGGACGUGAACCAGAACCUAGCAAUGGACCCGUUUAUCCCUCCGACCCCAUGGAAGCCGCGAGCUGCGGAGCAUCGUCAGAACAUCGCUUUGCGGAAUAUAGCUUCUCAUCAAUGCAAAGAUGUCAUCUUUGCGACAAGUUUCUCUAUGGACUUGUGCGCCAGGGACUCCAAUGCCGGGAGUGUGGCAUGUGUUCCCACCGAUACUGCUCCUCAUCGAGAACAUCAGAAUGCAACGUGCCAAAGAUAGAUCGCUUGAGACGACCCAGCUUCACACAAAAUUCAUCAUUUGGGGCAGAAUUAGGGGAGGAAGUCAGCAAGUGCCAUUUAGAGGCGCCGUGGAUUAUUGUCAAGUGUACGGAGGUGAUUGAGAAGUGGUGUGUUGAUCAUAAAUCAGAAGCACUUAGUGUUUAUAGGAUCUUUGCUAAGACUGAAGAAAUCAACGAAAUCAAGGCAGAAUUAAAUCUCGUGAAUGAUCCUACACAAGUAAAUCUGGCUCCGUUUAAUGUACAUUGUGUGGCUGGUGCUUUGAAAAAGUACCUUCGUGAACUUCCAAAUCCAGUCAUCCCUGUUGACAUGUACGAUGCCGUCAUGGCCGUUGCACAGCAGCGUGAACACGGAUCAUCAGACAUUACCAAGAGUUUGGUCGAGUUGAUCACAGCUCUUCCCGGUCCUCAUCAGUCGACACUGCGCUUCCUCAUGGCGCACUUUAUCCGGUUAUGGAAGAUUCAGCAUGAGUCGGAGGUGGACGACGGACUCGACAAACUGUCCCACGUAUUCUGUCACAUACUGCUUCGCCCGCCCUGGGAGAAAAUCAUUGAGAUUGUGGACAACACCAAGUACCACAUAGACAUUUUUGAGGAGCUUCUAAAGAACGGUAGUUGGGGGGAGGCGCCUCCUCCUUCACCGCCUACCAGGCCGCCCCGCCCACAGUCUCCUAUCAUUUCCUCCGAACAUUUGUCCGUCAUGUCUGCUGAAGAGAGACUAAAGGAAGCGGAGUGGUAUUGGGGCAAUCUUUCCCGUGAGGAAGUAAAUGAACUAUUAAGAGACAAACCUGAUGGCACGUUUCUGGUGCGUGAUUCAGCUACACAAGGCGAUUACACGUUGACAAUACGGAAAGGUGGUACUAACAAACUCAUCAAAAUAUACCACAGUUCUGAAGGCAAGUUUGGCUUUGUGGAACCAUUAACUUUUAAUUCUGUUGUGGAUCUUAUACAACACUACAGUAACAUUUCCCUGUCCAUCUACAACCGCACGCUCGACACCAAGCUCCUCUACCCAGUGUCCAAAAACAAGGCAGCGGAGUUAGAUACUGACAGCCUGAAGGAAGAGUGUAAGAAACUACAGAGAAUCAACGCUGAGUACUUAACAAAGAUGCACGAAUACGACACGCACUACGAGGAACACUCGAAGCUCUCUCAGGAACUCCAGCUCAAACAUCAGGCUCUGGAUGCCUUCAAGGAAACCGUGGCGGUGUUCGAGGAGCAGAUGGAACUCCACCGGAAACAUCAGAGAGAUGUAUCGCUCCACGACAUUCAAAAAUUACACGAAAACUAUGAGCUGUUGAAGAGUAGGUGUCAAAGUAUUCAUGAAAGUAAGGAGAAGUUGGAAACGGAAAUUAACCGAAAAACCACCUUGAAUAGAACUCUUAUAAGUGACAUGAACAGUUUACGACCAGAAAUCAAGAGACUUCAUAAACAGCGAGAGCAGGUGAAAAAAUUCCUUCUGGACCAGGGAGAACAGCCAGAUUCCAUAGACGCCAUUCUGCUGGAGAAUGACAGGGACCCUUUGUUACAUGAGAAAAAUUGGUUUGUGAACUGUGUCCGGGAACAAGCGGAGCGUCUCCUCGCAGGAACGAAAGACGGAACAUUCCUGAUUCGGCCGAAGGAUCAUGUCCAUGUCUUAUCAAUCAUGUGCAAUGGAAAAGUGGGUCACUGUAUCAUUGGUAACAAUGAAGGGCGCUUCGGCUUUUCUGAAGGGUUUUACAAGUUUGAUGAUGUGAAGGACUUGGUGUUACACUACCACAGAGAAUCUCUAAAGGAACACAACGGAGAAUUGGACACCAAACUCAUUUACCCUGUACACUGUCAAACGACUGGUGCUCAAGGUCAGGCCCCCUCAGAUAUAUACCUCAAAAUGCGACCAACGACGUCUUAGUGUAUGUUUACAAAUGCAGACUAUCGACAGUAUUCAAGAUAACUGUGAUUCCUCUCGUCAGUACUGUUCCGUAGAGUGUGACAGAGUUUACGGCAUAAUCCUGUGUUAGGUGGAAGCAGACAACACGGUAACCGUGGUGAUGAUGACACGACCACCAUAAAAAAACGUGCUAUAUCUCUCGUCAAGGAGAUUUUACAGUAACUGCUGAUAACCUAUAUAGUAAUAUAAGUACUAGUUUUUAUGUGCUACCCACUAGAAAACGUCUUUCAAAUCUGGUGCACAAUUGGUCAUAUGACCAUGGACGCUUUGUUUCAUUGGAUCAAGUCUACAAGACCUUUGAAGAGUCAAACUGUCUUUUCAUUGGUCAAAAAAAUUAUAUAUAUUUUAUGUUUAUUGUCAGAUGUGUGAACAAAUUGAGGCAUGUGUAACACCAUGUGAGUGAUUUACCAAAGGAUACGAAAAAUGGCAGACUGGAAUGGACGUCGAUUUAACUGUGAUUGUUACACACUAAGUGCUAUACAUAGAAACUGGAACACAUGUUACGGUCAAUUUCUUUCUGAUAUUUUUUUGCAGAGGAAAAAGAUUCAUUGGAAAAUUGAUCAUGAUAAAUCAUUAUUUGAACGAGUAGAAUAUGUGGAUGUGUUUUGUGAAAGAGUGUUUUUUGAAAACUAGGUUACGAGUAUGAAUAGUUAUAGCUAGGUUUUCUAGAGUCACUGAUUGUCAGUGAGGCAUUGUUUUUUGUUGCUGAUGUGCAUUGUACUGCAAUCAAAUUGUUAUUGUGACUGAGCAUGAAAAGGAUUUAAAUGGCAUAAGUGUGCAUUAUCACCGUCAAACUACAAGUUUGACUUUGCAGGAAUCUGCAGGACUCGCAGACUAUGCGUUGACUUAUAAUUUAGACUUGUGUUCGGUUCUGUAAAUACUUUGCUCUGGUCGAUCGAUAAAUACUGUACUCUUAUCAGUCAGUAAAAUUAUGUGCUCUGAUUGGUUAGUAAAAUACUGUAAUCUGAUUGGUCGCUGCUGAAAGGCAAACGAGAGUGAGCGAGAGUGAGACAUAGAACAACCAAAUUAUCAUUCAACUUCAUCUUCCCGUCAUUCUGUCUACUUGUAUUGGAAAACAUUGAGGUAGAUGAUGUAAUUCAGACUCCCGUCAUUCUGUCUACUUGUAUUGGAAAACAUUGAGGUAGAUGAUGUAGUUCAGACUGGUGCUAUAUAUAUUAGUCAUUUUUUGUCAUUUUACUGCGGCACCAAACAUGGUUGAUGUCAGUAAAGCCGUCUUUCUCUGUAGGUAAAACAAACACAGUGCUCUUCCCCAAAUAUAAUCCCUACAUAAAUCCUGAUUCUAGUGAAACAUUACUAAAAGGAUAGUGCUAUGUAGCGGUACAUGAUAAAGAGACCUAAGGUGCUGGGGUAGAUUUCUGUACACCAGCGCUCCGGGCACUGUCUUCACUCAGCCAUGCAGAGAAAGAUAGCUUCUCUCAUUGUUCUGUGCCUAAUUUUCUGCUCUCUCUAAUUUCUCACCUGUAUUACUCCAGCAUUUCUUGAAGUGCACUUAGCUAUAAACUUGAAAGGACAUGAGUAUUCAGCAUACAAAGCAUACUGCUCGUACUGUCAGCAUUAUAUUAGCCAAUUUUAAAUUCUGAUAUCUAUAUUUGUAUUAUGUAUGAGAUAGUCUAACCUUUCAAAUGUUCAAAUAGUGCCCCCGGACCUUUCACAGGUUAAAAUUUCAAAAGAUAAUUUUCACACAUGUUCAUGAAAUAUUGACUUAUUAAAAUAUUACAGGUGUGUCUUCCUGAUAUAGUAUAUAAUUAUGAAUACUUAAAAGCAUGUUUACGACAUUUACAGGGCAAAUAUUAUUUAUGUGUAUAAUUUUGACGUAUUGUGCGACUAUGAGAACCAUCACAUGGCUUUCAUUAAAAUGAUAUUUUUGACGAAAGAUUAAUUCUAUAUUUUGUGAAUCUCCCUCGAGCUAUCUAAAUAAAAUGGCUUUAUAUUGUAGCAGUUUAAAAAAAAAAGAUAGUUGAAUGAGAAAACACUACAUUCCAACUGAAAUGUUUAACACUUGUACUCUGAAUUCAUCAGGGGCAGUACUACCAAAGUAACCUUCGCUUGUUUGCUGAAAUCAUUGCUAUAUUUUACUGAGAAAAGAGGGCUAUACAUAUGAUUGUCGGGCUAUACAUAUGAUUGUUGGGCUAUACAUAUGAUUGUCGGGCUAUACAUAUGAUUGUUGGGCUAUACAUAUGAUUGUCGGGCUAUACAUAUGAUUGUUGGGCUAUACAUAUGAUUGUCGGGCUAUACAUAUGAUUGUUGGGCUAUACAUAUGAUUGUCGAGCUAUACAUAUGAUUGUUGGGCUAUACAUAUGAUUGUCGGGCUAUGAUAGUUGGGCUAUACAUAUGAUUGUCGGGCUAUACAUAUGAUUGUCGGGCUAUACAUAUGAUAGUUGGGCUAUACAUAUGAUUGUUGGGCUAUACAUAUGAUUGUCGGGCUAUGAUAGUUGGGCUAUACAUAUGAUUGUCGGGCUAUACAUAUGAUUGUCGGGCUAUACAUAUGAUUGUUGGGCUAUACAUAUGAUUGUUGGGCUAUACAAAUGAUUGUUUGUUAUGUACAAGAUUGCUUUCUGUGUUAACAGUCAGUUUCUGAUUUAGGACGGAAACAUAACCACCAGCUUUUGAUUGUUAUAGCGGAAACGUUGCGUACAAGUCAACUUGUGACUUUUGGGAUGAAGUGUACCUGCAGGCUUCUGACAGUGUAACUAUGUAUGAUUUGAAUGUGUUAUGAUGGAAACAUCGGAUACCACUUUGUUCUGUGACCUAUUGUUUCCUUAACUUACAUUUUUAUUGACUUCAUCGUAUGUCUGAGGUAUGUUGUGCCUAGCAGACCGAUCAGUUCAUAUCUUACACAAAUCCUACAAAUAAAAUCAUCAAUUUUA